rnacentral:rRNA from 1 species
GAUGAACGCUGGCGGCGUGCCUAAUACAUGCAAGUCGAGCGAACGGACGAUAAGCUUGCUUUUCUGAUGUUAGCGGCGGACGGGUGAGUAACACGUGGAUAACCGACCUAUAAGACUGGGAUAACUUCGUGAAACCGGAUCUAAUACCGGAUAAUAUUUUGAACCGCAUGGUUCAACAGUGAAAGGCGGUCUUGCUGUCACUUAUAGAUGGAUCCGCGCUGCAUUAGCUAGUUGGUAAGGUAACGGCUUACCAAGGCAACGAUGCAUAGCCGACCUGAGAGGGUGAUCGGCCACACUGGAACUGAGACACGGUCCAGACUCCUACGGGAGGCAGCAGUAGGGAAUCUUGCGCAAUGGGCGAAAGCCUGACGGAGCAACGCCGCGUGAGUGAAGAAGGUCUUCGGAUCGUAAAACUCUGUUAUUAGGGAAGAACAUAUGUGUAAGUAACUGUGCACAUCUUGACGGUACCUAAUCAGAAAGCCACGGCUAACUACGUG